GUGCGCUGGAAAAGAAUAAACAGGGCUAGGGCCAGGGAGAUGUGGAAGCCUUGAGUGGCACCGUCUUCCCUCCUUGCUCCACCUCGGGGCAAAGUGUUCUUAACUUGGCACUUCUUGUGCUGAGUCAGGGAAAGCAGCCGUGGACCGGGGUGGACCCUGAUCUUCGGUGGCAGGACGCUCCUGCUCUGAUCAAGCUUUCACACCUGAUUAGGGUGCUGGGUGAAGCGGGCAUGUGCAGGCUGGCGCCACACCACCAUGGGCAGCCCAGGAGCAAGCGUCCGUCCUGCUCCCAAGGGCCCCUGAGCCCAGGCCAGCGACAACAUGAGCAUCGGGAGAGCAUCCCAGACCUUAGAUGUCCACGGAGGCCAGCUCACACCCGUGGUCUGUAGGAGCCACCGUGCCCCGUGCGCCUGAGGGCCAGCAGGAAGCUCUGCCCACAAGGGGCCACACAGGGAGGCACCACUCCUGGAAGGCCGCUGAUGCCUCAGUCCAGUGCGGUCAGUUCCCGGGAAGGACUGUGGCCACUUGCAAGACUGCGUCCCAGUAAGCAGGCGCUGAGUGGAAAGACCCUGGAGUUGAAAGUGUGUUGAGCGUCCCAGCCUAGAUGUUCCAGACACUGUGCGUCCAGCUGUACCUCCAGUGAGUGCAGCUCCAGCGUUGGGCCACACGCCAUGCCCCAGCCCGGGAAGAUCAGCACCCCUGGACGCUUUCCACCGAAGGGUCCUCCGUGCCCCCUAACAGAAGGCACUUUAGGCCGUCUCACCCAAAGCCCCUCUGCACAGGGACUUAACCCCAUAAAUCUGCUGCACAAGAGGCUGGGAGAGGAGCCGUCCGAAUGUCCUCAGGGUUCAAGGCGGUUGUGGACACAGACCCUCCUUUGGGAGAGAUCCUGGCCUGCUCAAGCUGUGCUUUAUGGGCUCUGCUUGGUUCUGUCUCGCUUGGCCCGGUCUGGCGGUCCACAUCAUUUGACAGAUGGAUUGCACUUCCUGAGGUGGCCCAAAGGAGGAGUUGCCACCUCCCUGAAACAGCUUCCUCGCUGCCCCCAGCUCGCCAGGCCACGUGAUGGACUAAUGGCUGCCCAAGUGCAAUUUUGGAUAACGGCCCUUGGAAAAUAUCCAUCUCCAGCAGUGCUGUUUUCCUGA
ensembl:lincRNA